GAUGAACGCUAGCGGCAGGCCUAAUACAUGCAAGUCGAACGAGAUUGGAGGAGCUUGCUCUUCCAUGAAAGUGGCGCACGGGUGCGUAACGCGUAUGCAACCUACCUUAAUCAGGGGGAUAGCCUCUCGAAAGAGAGAUUAACACCGCAUAAAAUCACAAGCUGGCAUCAGCAAAUGAUCAAAUAUUUAUAGGAUUAAGA
rnacentral:rRNA from 1 species